AUACUAACGACUCUCGGCAACGGAUAUCUCGGCUCACGCAUCGAUGAAGAACGUAGCAAAAUGCGAUACUUGGUGUGAAUUGCAGAAUCCCGUGAACCAUCGAGUUUUUGAACGCAAGUUGCGCCCAAAGCCAUCCGGCUGAGGGCACGCCUGCCUGGGCGUCACGC
rnacentral:rRNA from 1 species